GUUUGCGCUGUGCGGAAGACUUAGACAAAAUGCCUAGGAUCCACUGUGCG
rnacentral:misc_RNA from 1 species